UGCCAGCCGCCGCGGUAAUACGAAGGGUGCAAGCGUUAAUCGGAAUUACUGGGCGUAAAGCGCGCGUAGGUGGCCAAGUCAGUCAGAUGUGAAAGCCCUGGGCUCAACCUGGGAACUGCAUCUGAUACUGCUUGGCUAGAGUAUGGCAGAGGGGUGUGGAAUUUCCUGUGUAGCGGUGAAAUGCGUAGAUAUAGGAAGGAACACCAGUGGGGAAGGCGACACCCUGGACCAAUACUGACACUGAGGUGCGAAAGCGCGGGGAGCAAACAGGAUUAGAUA
rnacentral:rRNA from 1 species